rnacentral:misc_RNA from 1 species
UGAAGUACCUCACAGCUCGCCCACAGGCCUGCCUCAGCACUAAAUCCGAGGCGCAAAACGCGGGCCAAAGCACACUUGGGUUUCUCUACGAUUAUCGAUCGCCCCCCCCCUUUCCCUUUCCACUACUCUCAGGUGUAGCCCCUUCUUUUCCUGCUUGUUUUCUUUUGUUGGGUGUCUGUUUAUUAUCUCUUUCAGGGUGGAGGAAGGCAAGGACCUACCGGUUGCGUGUGGCGGCAGCGUGGAGUUGCGUGGGUGUGGUCCCACUCGCUAGCGAGGCCAGCGCGUGCAUUUCUGUGUGUGUGUGUGUGUGUGCAAGCGAGACCGUCAAAAACAAUACGAAAGGGAAAGGUGUUGCGUGCAGCGCGGUUUCUUGUUCUUUUUCUUGUGCUCUCAGUCUCGACAUAUAUAUAUAUAUGUUCCACCAGGACAAGGUGAAGACGCGAAAAAGUUCCUUGACAAAAGACGAAGUGGAGAAGGCGGCGAAGUUUGCCUCCUGUGUUAAAGCCGGACAGACUCUGACAAGCACAAAGAAAGGGGGCUUCUCAUUAGAUCCUUUGCUCCGGUGCUGUCUUGGCGUUCGUGCAGGUGUCUCUUGUCUUUCGAAGCGCAUGCUUCAGCAACACCGAUCGCUGUCCGUUUUGUUCCUUUCUUAUUUUUUUGUCAAUCAUCUCGUUGCCGUACUGCUGCCCUCUCCCUCUCUCCUCUGUGGACUUGUGUGUGAGUAUUGUGUUUUUUUUUGUUGUGUAUUUGGUAUUGUACUGUGUGUGUGUAUGUGUGUGCUAGAUAGUGUAUAACUGUUCUUCCUGGCGUGCCAACGCAUUACUGCUCUGCCGGCGCUUGCCAUACACGAAAGAGCCUCCCUUACACACACAUACACACACACCUUUGUUUCUUGUCGUCGUACAACUGGCAGGUGCUGAGGCUCAUCGCAAGCGGAAGAAAUCAAAAAGAAGAGAAGCACCUAGGCGAGGGAGUGCGAUUUGGUGUGGCCCGUUCUCUGCGAGCUUUUUCUUGUUAGCUCUUUUGUACCCGUUUUCGCUCGUUCUCUCUCUCUCUGCGUGUGUAUGUGUGUGUGUGUGUGUGUGUGUGUGUGUGUGUGUCUUUAUCACGUUGUUUUCUGUCUUUUUUGGCCUUUCUGUCCACUUUCCUUUUCACCUGUUCUUUUUUCUUUUGGGGGGUAGGGGGGCCGUCACUCCUCCCCUCCUGGGCGCUCUCCUUUCUCUCUCUCCCUUGCCGUUUGGUCGUGCUGGCAACCUCACUGUGAGGGAGUUCCCGUGACAACUCAGAGUAGGUAACAAGGUGCGCUUCGCUCUCCUCAGGCUCUGCCUCUGACACGCAUCUACCACUCCGCAUUCCCGUGUGUGUGUACUUCACCACAGAAAAACACAAAGGAGCGGAGGAGUGGCAGAAUGGGAAAGGCGCCUGCCAUGCCAAGCAGUACCUUGACGGGCGCUGAAGUCAGAGCAUCGCGGAGUCGCGCCACCUUUCUCGUGCAUGGUGUGCUGCGGCGUAUCCCGGGAUACGCCUUCUUUCUGAUUCACCUGUGCUUUGUUCACAUUCUGUGGGGGCAACUGGUGGACCAAUUCUUCAACGCGACGAUCACUUUCACGAGUGCCAACGUCACCAAAACCGACCUGGCCAAGGAGGCAUUCAUUCGUGUAUGCAACAGAAUUUGUCGGUCUGUAGACCAGACACUGCUGCAUGGACUAGUGGAUGUAUUGAAGACGAAGGGCGGCACGGGAGUGACAGGCGCGCUUGCGGCGUCACGAGAAAUUCUUGCCUUUUUGUGGAAGUCUCCGUCUAGCAUGGUGCUCUUCUUCGGGCUUGCAUUCAUCUGUCUCAACAGUGUACUCGCUGCGUUGCGGCUCUUCACCGGUUUCCUCAGCAGCCUCACAGCGCUGUGUAGAAGUCGACGGCAGCUGGAGCGGAGUGGCUCGCGGAAGCCAGUGCCACUGCACAUCACCGUGCGGUAUGGCAACGGGUAUGACAGCAUGCUUCGUUUCGCUCUGGCUGCUGUCGAGCUGGCCUGGUUCAUGAGCUACCCUGUGUUGAACUCGACAGAAGCCACGAAGAGCGCUGCGGACAAGACGCGCCGCGUGCCUGGGGCAACGGAGCCGACGUAUGCUUCUCUGCGUCAACUGCAGGUGCGUCAUCAAGCCAUCGCCAGCUUUCAAAUCGAGGCCUCGCUGCUUCUCCCUCCGCAGCUGUUCGACUCAACAGCCGACGCCAUCGCCGCUGGCGCAUUUGUGAUCAUAUUCGUGAAGGUGGUACUGGGAGUUGUAGUAGCGCUGGAUGCGCAACGCCUCUUUCACGCGCUUGUCGGGGUGCGGCCCCUUUUCAUACCCAACGGGUGGGAGCGGUGUCCCGUAUGCGGCGCUCUCUGGAAGCGGUCCCGCAAGGCCACCAACGCGGUUCACCUGUGCCCCAAUAUUUUCACUGCCACACCGUUGCUCUCAGGCUGCUCUCCUGGCAUGACAGCGUCGGACACGGAGGAGGAGGAGGAAGACAUGCGAGGGCAGGUGCUGGGCACGGUAAGGCGUGGCGUGGGUGACCGCAGGCGCGUUGGCCCCCCAACGGAAGCAGCCCAUCGCCCCGGCGACGCCUUUCCCAACCCGAACACAGCCUCGUUUGCCUCGUUGGUGACGGACAGCUGGCUCAGCCCUCUCAUGAACUUCACUCUGCUCUCCCCCCUCAACACCUUCUCGCCUCCGCCCUUGUCCUCCAUCACCGAUGACGGACGUGGUCAUUGGCGCGCACUGCUGCGUGUAGUGGACCGACUGCCGCGACUUCCACGCUCUCUUCGCACGCGAGACACUAUCGACGAGCCAGCGUGGACGCUGUGGCAGCGCCGACACGAGCCUGCUGCUCGCGGAGAGGUUAGGUGGUUGGAGCGCAGUUUUAUGGCCAUCACAGAACCUAUCCGCCGCGUCCUGUUGCAUGCCUUCGCAGUCUUCUUCCUCCCUCCCUCCGCGCGCGGAGCGGACACCCGACAUGGCGAAUGGGGUCCUGUCCGGAGUGGCUCGUCGCUCUUUCGCGUGUUUCUGCGCCACCCCAGCGGCCGUCAGUUUGUGCUCGUCUGUGUCCCGCUGAAGCUGACGCAAGACCUGCUGUCGCUGCUGGCCCCGCGAGUCGUGAAGUCGCUGGUGGCCUUUCUGAAGGAGGUGAGCACAUCGAACAUCAGCGUACGUCAGAACUACCUCGGCCGCGGCCUCCUGAUUUGCCUGAGUCUCAUUCUAGUCGUGUCGCUUCAAGCUCUCUUUUUCCAGCUGUACCUGACCCACCUGUAUGCCUCCUGCCUCAAGUCCGCCUCUGCAUUGAAGACGUUGUUGCUGCGGCAAUCUCUGGCAACGCCAUUGGCGUACACCGGUGGAGGCAGGGGCGGUGGCGGCAAGAGGGCCCCCAUGUCACCGUCGGCAUCCGACAUCCCGCAUUCCCCCACUCGCCCGAGUGAGAAGAACGACGGGAGAGUAAAAGAUGCGCUGUCCUUGUCAACGGCAAUACCAACAGCUGAGGAAGUGACCACCACCGCUACGCUAUCACGCGAAGGCGAAGUCAUGUCGCUUCUCACCGUCGACAUCACCAACUGCGCCGACUGCCUCAUCUUCUUGCACAACGUGUGGGGCCACCCCUUUGUGAUCAUAUCAUCCUUGAUGAGUAUGUACACAUACGUCGGGCUCUUCUCUACGCUCGCUACGUUUGCCGCUCUCAUCGCGCUGAUUCCCCUGAACCGUAGCAGUGCCGCCCGCGUGCGCACAGCGCAGCAGCAAGCCAAGAACAAUGAGUCUCGCCUCAGCGAUCUCACCGCUGCCCUCUCGUCAAUGCGCACAGUGAAGUCCAUGGCACUGGAAGAGUGCCUCGUUGGGCGUGUGGAGGAAGCCCGCGUGAGAGAGAGUGAUGGAACGAAGCUCGUUGGACAAGCAGAGAGCGUCGCUGCGGCGCAAACGGAGGUGACAACGUUGCUGGUCGCGCUCGUGUGCUGCGGGUCGUACCUUCUCACUGGUGGCGUCAUGGAGGCGGCGGUGUUGGUGCCGACGAUGGCGGCGCUGCAGGUGAUGCGGUUCCCUGUCUGGACGCUGCCGCACCUCUACUCGCAAGUUUCUCGCGGCUACACCUCGAUGCUACGCAUCGAACGCUUUCUCUCCGAGCUCGAAGCCGGCGAGAACGCCAGCACCGCCUACGUGGAGCAUCGCCUACGUCAGCAAAACGGCGAGGGUGCGGCGAGAGACGUACAGCCGUCGGUCGCCGUAGCUGUGAGGGCGGGCGAAGUGCGAUGUGAGCGUGGCACAUUCGCAUGGAACACGCAGGCAGCCGUGGCAGAUCAAAUCGCAUUCGACAACGCGCUCUCCUGCAACUCCCCGAAAGGGUCGCGCGGCUAUACCCGUUCACCGAACGCUGCGUCCAAAGAAAGUGACAGGAGAGGGGAAGAGGAUGCCCCUUCAAGUUCUAUGCUCAGCGCAUAUAGUAGUCCGCGGGAGAGCGGCUCUCGCGCGGUCGUUCUACACGGCAUCACCCUCAACAUCUUUCCCGGUGAGUUUGUCAUGGUGCAUGGUCCCACAGGGUGCGGGAAAAGCGCCCUGCUACUUUCCAUGCUGGGAGAGCUGUACGUCAUGCCGAAUGGCAGUCAUGCCACGAGCACGAGAAGCACAACAGUAGCGUCAUCGGAGACAAGGGCUUCGUCCGAUAGUCAGGGAUUUCAGGUGGGCGGCCGUGUGGUGUACUGUGCCGAGGUGCCGUGGUUGCGCCAGGGGACUAUGCGAGAGAACAUUCGCCUCGUCUCCGACGACGUCCCCGAGAGCGCGACGGAGAGAGAGUGGUACAAUCGGGUGCUCGAAGCCUGCGCCCUCAAGAAUGACAUCAAGGCGCUGGCAAAGGGUGAUCGCACCAUGGUGGGUGAGGGUGGCUCGAAGUUGUCGGGGGGACAGCGCGCGAGAGUGGCGCUAGCGCGUGCUGUGUACCGCUACAGCGAGACGGACGUGUUCAUCUUUGAUGAUGUGCUCUCCGCACUCGAUGUUGAGGUGCAGAAACACAUCAUUGCGAACCUGUUCCAUGGACUCCUGUGCGCUGGCGCAGGAUCCUCCUCCGCCGCGCAGCGCCGCACAAAAACUGUUGUGCUCGCCACACACGCUGCAGUGAGUCUGCUGAUGCCAGAUCGCGUGCUCCAUCUGUGGCCAGAUGGCACACUGCACGAGGACAUGACCCACCAGGCGCCGACGGAGGACCAAGUGCAUCAGCAGAAGAGCGCGUGGCGCAACGCGACGGCAGCGGCGGCGACAAAAGAGCAACGACGGUCUAUUCAAUACCAGGCUGCUGGCGCUGCGGCGGCGGAUUUGUCGACGCGCCAGAACGAUUCCACUUUUCCUCCGUCCACAAAGUCGAAGCCGGUGGCAGAAACAUCACCCAAGUCGUCAUCGGCGCCAUCCGUGCGACCGCCUGCGACCGGCAUCGAUUCCCUUCUCCCACGCGCCGCGGAUCUGCGCCGGCUCUUCAUCGAGUACAUUGGCGGCGGGCGGCUCCUGUGGUUCUUUGUGCUCAGUGUGUCCAUGCAGCUUUUCCGGACGCUGAUGGACAACUGGCUGGGUGUGUACAUUUCCCUCUACGAUAAGCGCAAUGCAGCCUACGAGACCAUUUUGCGCAGUACCAAGUCCCAGCGAGCGCGCAAGUUCAUGCUCGACAUGCUGUCUCUUGUCGUCCUGCGAGGCGACAAGGCUACGCCGGCGCCACCACCGCCACCGGUGGUCCCCGUCUUCACCAUCUUUGGUGUUCCUGUUGUGUGGCGCAACCCUUUUGUGCUGGACACUGUUGUCGCGCAGUUCCUCGGAACGUACGCCUUCAUCGGCUUAAGUGCCGCGCUGCUGUCGAUGAUCCGCACCGACUACUUUUUCCGCUCGUAUCAGCGCAUGGCCGACGCGCUGCAGCUGCACGCAGUGCGCAAGUUGUUCAAGGCCCCGGUCUCCUACUUCGACCGCAUUCCAUCCAGUCGGCUCUUGCAGAUUCUCAGUCGCGAUCAGGAAGUGGUAGAUCGCGCCCUUGGCGAGUCGGUUCAGCUCAUCUUUCUAACAAUUCUCCAGCUCUUCGGCAUGGUGUGCUUCAACGCUAUCCACUUCGGCCCUUUCAUCGCUGUGCUUCCGAUAUCCGCGCUUCUCUUCUACCAUCUGACAGUUCGCUUUCUAUCCUUCACCAAGCAAGUUCGCGCGCUGGAAGGUGUGCUGCAGAGUCGAUCAGUUGCCGUCAUGAAGGAUGCUGUGAACGGGGCAAUCACGAUUCGAGCCUUCGGUUCGGUACUGCAGAACCAGCUUGUGCAGGAGAUGAACGAGGCACUCGACGCUGUUCACGUCGCCGCCAACGCCGGCCUUACCGCGGAUCGCUGGGUUGCCCUGCGGCUGGAGUUUGUCGCCCUUGCCUUGACUUCAGCGCUCGCACUCCUUUCCGUUCUGACGGUGUGUCUGUCGGCGACGACGUCCGCCGGCAGCGCGGCGUUUGCCGGACUGGGCAUCAUUUCCAGCAUGACCGCGUCGCGCUCCCUGUCGAUGCUGUGCCGGCGCUUCGGCAUGUUUCAGAACCAGUUCGUUAGCGCUGAGCAGCUUCUGCGCCUCGAGGAAGAGAUACCAGAGGAGGAUACACCAGCAGCCGCAGAGGGUUGCAGCGAUGAUGAGUCCUCGGCGUCGGAGCAGCGCGCCGCCACGGAACCGGACACGUGCCUGCUGCUCGAUGUACGCCACCUGUGUGCGAAAUACCAGCCACAACUUCCGUGGGUGCUGUCGGACAUCUGUUUCACGCUGCGCCCGGGCGAGUGUGUGGGCCUGAUUGGCCGUACAGGCAACGGCAAGUCGUCCCUCUUCAACGCCUUGCUUGGGCUCAUGGAUGUCGUGGAGGGUGAAAUCCGUAUUCCUGGAGCACUUUUUUCUUCCUCGCCAAAGCCAAAGGCACGACAACUCAACGCGAUCCAUCUCCCGCAGCAUGAGCUUCGCAAGAACUACUUCCAGCUGGUCUCUCAGGAACCGCUUCUCCUGCAAGGCACAUGUCGCAGCAAUCUCAUACUCGGCCUCGAUGACGGCAGUGCCGCGUCUCGGGAGGCAUCUGGUGAGCCGCGGGUCACAGUUGACGCGGAGGCGCUCGACGUGCGUCUGAGCGCGGUUCUGCGGAAGGUGGCUCUCGAUGAACUUCUCGAGCCGUCGUACGCCGUGCCAGCCCCGGGACAGCCAGCCGUAACUGGCAGCGACGGUGAGGUUGCGUCAUCAGCAACCCGCGACGCGGCGGAGUCCGCCUCUGACUCUACCGCAUCGCCAACCUCUACCGUCGACGUCGCCACCCGCGCGCUGGACCACGUCGUCACCGCUGGUGGAUCAAACCUUUCCGCCGGACAACGCCAACUGUUGUGCCUCGCCCGCGCUAUCCUGCACCGGCCACACGUGGUUUUACUGGACGAAGUUAGCUCACGGGUGGACCGACGCACGGAUGACCUGAUCCAACGAGUCAUCAAAGAAGAGAUGCUAUGCCGCGGUGGUAAGGACAACGGCGACAGCAGCGCCGUGAAAAGCGGCGUCCUUCUCAUUGCACACCGCCUGGAGACUAUCAUGUCCCUGUGCGAUAGCGUCAUCGUCAUAGAGAAGGGCAGGUGUGUCGCGCACUUGUCAAAAGAGGAGGUCAACUGUUUGGAGGACUUGGAGUCGUACCUCUGAGUCGCACACUGGGUCCUGGGUGAUGGGCCGCUUGUGGAUAUCUUUGUGUG